UGAGGAAUAUUGGUCAAUGGGCGAGAGCCUGAACCAGCCAAGUAGCGUGAAGGAUGACUGCCCUAUGGGUUGUAAACUUCUUUUAUAAAGGAAUAAAGUCGGGUAUGUAUACCCGUUUGCAUGUACUUUAUGAAUAAGGAUCGGCUAACUCCGUGCCAGCAGCCGCGGUAAUACGGAGGAUCCGAGCGUUAUCCGGAUUUAUUGGGUUUAAAGGGUGCGUAGGCGGCCUUUUAAGUCAGCGGUGAAAGUCUGUGGCUCAACCAUAGAAUUGCCGUUGAAACUGGGGGGCUUGAGUAUGUUUGAGGCAGGCGGAAUGCGUGGUGUAGCGGUGAAAUGCAUAGAUAUCACGCAGAACCCCGAUUGCGAAGGCAGCCUGCCAAGCCAUUACUGACGCUGAUGCACGAAAGCGUGGGGAUCAAACAGGAUUAGAUACCCUGGUAGUCCACGCAGUAAACGAUGAUCACUAGCUGUUUGCGAUACACUGUAAGCGGCACAGCGAAAGCGUUAAGUGAUCCACCUGGGGAGUACGCCGGCAACGGUGAAACUCAAAGGAAUUGACGGGGGCCCGCACAAGCGGAGGAACAUGUGGUUUAAUUCGAUGAUACGCGAGGAACCUUACCCGGGUUUGAACGCAUUUCGACAGCUCUGGAAACAGAGUCUCUAGCGAUAGCGAUUUGCGAGGUGCUGCAUGGUUGUCGUCAGCUCGUGCCGUGAGGUGUCGGCUUAAGUGCCAUAACGAGCGCAACCCUUGCCACUAGUUACUAACAGGUAAAGCUGAGGACUCUGGUGGGACUGCCAGCGUAAGCUGCGAGGAAGGCGGGGAUGACGUCAAAUCAGCACGGCCCUUACAUCCGGGGCGACACACGUGUUACAAUGGCGUGGACAAAGGGAGGCCACCUGGCGACAGGGAGCGAAUCCCCAAACCACGUCUCAGUUCGGAUCGGAGUCUGCAACCCGACUCCGUGAAGCUGGAUUCGCUAGUAAUCGCGCAUCAGCCAUGGCGCGGUGAAUACGUUCCC
rnacentral:rRNA from 1 species